rnacentral:lncRNA from 1 species
UUUAAAGGGCACUAACUGUCAAAUUCAUGGUCACCGAUUUGACUCAAAUUCUCAUAUCUGAUUUAUAACAAUGUAAAACAUUUAUCCAAACUAUCAAAAGUCUAAAAUAAACAGUUUACAGAGCAUGGGGUAGAUAAUAUAUAGGUUCGUUUCGUGUGUAUUUUAGUCCAGACGCCAUCUAAUUACCUAUCGAUUUGACCUCAGAUGACCAUAUAAGCGAUGUAAACAUAAAUAAAGAUAUGAAUAGAUUAAACCAACACGUGCAAUUGGAUGUUUAUAGGUCUGUUUGAUUUUAUUCAAUAGAUUAAAAAUAGAUGUUUCUCAUUGUUUUUAACCGUAUAAGAAUGAUUUUAUGUGCAUCGAAUUAGUA